UAAGAAUUACACUAUGGGCGCUUUCACAUUUUUAAAUUCAAUGCAAAUCGUGUAUAAAAUACUCAUACUGGAAGCCUUAUUGUUAACGUGUGUAAAAGUCGAAGGUAGCGAAGUUCCGAGUGCCUAUCCUAUCAACAGAUGGAAUUGUACGUACCCAUGUUACUAUGGCGAGG